rnacentral:rRNA from 1 species
GAUGAACGCUGGCGGUAUGCUUUACGCAUGCAAGUCGUACGAGAGUUUUUAACUCAAGUGGCGGACGGGUGAGUAACACGUAAGAAUUUGCCUUUAGGAGGGGGAUAACAACUGGAAACGGUUGCUAAUACCCCAUAUGCUUUCGAGUGAAAUGGAUUUUUCCGCCUAAAGAGAAGCUUGCGGCUGAUUAGCUUGUUGGUGAGGUAAUGGCUUACCAAGGCGACGAUCAGUAUCUGGUUUGAGAGGACGAUCAGACACACUGGAACUGAGACACGGUCCAGACUCCUACGGGAGGCAGCAGUGGGGAAUUUUCCGCAAUGGGCGAAAGCCUGACGGAGCAAUACCGCGUGA